rnacentral:lncRNA from 1 species
CACCCCUCUCUUACAAGCCUACUUUAAAUUGGAAAGCCUGUCUCGCUUGUUUCGGUGUGGUGAGUGAAAUGGAGAAGGCUAAACUUUUUCUUCCCACAUGCUCACUUCCUUGCUUGUUCGCUAGCUGCUGCAUCUGGCCCCUCAAGGGUAAAGUCAAGGGGAAAAGGAGAUUGAGAGGAAGGACAGUCUGUGAAUUGUGCGAGGGAUAUUUCUGCUGACAAUUCAACAUUCAAAGGGAUGAGUGUAUGACGUCUCUAAGAGAUGUCAUGGAGUGCAUGUAGAAGGGACUUUUUAUGGAGAACUACUUCUCAAAUCACUAUUCACAUCCUGGUAGAAGUCAAGCAAUGAAGAUGGCACAGAAACACAUCCCAAAUACUAUGAUACCAUAAAGUAUACUGUAGCAAUGCAUUGGCACACCCUCAUUUGAACAUUUGUCUCAGAAGAUUUUGACAGAAGAUAAAAUUGUCUGGUUUUUAUUUCAUUGGUUUCAUGAAAAUUUAUUUCACUGGUUUCAUGUCACAGGCCCAUGACUGUAUAAAGAGUCAUAAUCUUUACAAACACAACAAUGACUCACAGCGACAUGUUGCAAAGCUGUAAUCGAAAACACUGAUGUUGAUUUCAGAGGCCAUUAAUGGUGUUAAGAAGGCGCUUUUGUUAACCAAAUAAUUGAAUACUCGUAAUUACUUUUCAGUUCUAGUUCAGUUCUUGACACCAAAACAAGCCAUUUUCUUUACAUAGUGAAUGCAGAACUUGCCAGUAAGAACUUUCAUACUAAACUUCUAUGUAAAACAAAACAUGUCAAAAUCAGUAACUACUUUAAUGGAAUGGUAAAGAAUUUACUUAAACACAAAGGAAUGAAAAUAUCUCUGCAAAUAUGUCUAUUGACUUUUCAAAUUUGGUGACUUCUUUCGAAUUAAUUCCCUUACGUCUGUUCCUCAUCCACAUAAAAAUGACAAAAAUGAAAGAUAAUUUUCCAGCCUAUAAUUAAAUUUCUCCAUUGUUGGUAUAUGUUUUUUCAAAUACAUUUUUCAGUUUUCAUAAUUCAUAUGAGAAUUAUUAAAAGGGAGUUAGUUGCCUUUAGGACCUUAUUUGGAGCCUAAUUCUUAAAAAUUGUGUAAAAAUAAUUGUGACUUUUAAGAGACAAUUGGAAAUUUGAACCUGACCACAUUUUUGUGAUAUUAAGGAAUUUUAUUAAUUAUUUUCUAGGUGGGGGAAUGAUAUGAUGAUAUUCUUAAAAUAAUGUGUGGAUUGUUUAUUACAUUUCAACAUUUUCUUAAUC